UACGUAGGGUGCAAGCGUUGUCCGGAAUUAUUGGGCGUAAAGAGCUCGUAGGCGGUUUGUUGCGUCGGCUGUGAAAUCCCCGAGGCUCAACCUCGGGUCUGCAGUCGAUACGAGCAAACUAGAGUGUUGCAGGGGAGACUGGAAUUCCUGGUGAUAGCGGUGAAAUGCGCAGAUAUCAAGGGAGGGAACACCGGUUGGGCGAAAGG
rnacentral:rRNA from 1 species